rnacentral:tRNA from 1 species
GCCCUUGUCGUCUAGUUCGGCCAAGGAUUCCGGACUUUCAAUCCGGAGACCCGGGUUCAAAUCCCGGCGAGGGCA